rnacentral:rRNA from 1 species
UACAGAGGGGGCAAGCGUUAUUCGGAAUUACUGGGCGUAAAGGGCGCGUAGGCGGCCCGCUAAGUCGAACGUGAAAUCCCCCGAGCUCAACUCGGGAACUGCGUCCGAUACUGGCGGGCUUGAAUCCGGGAGAGGGAUGCGGAAUUCCAGGUGUAGCGGUGAAAUGCGUAGAUAUCUGGAGGAACACCGGUGGCGAAGGCGGCAUCCUGGACCGGCAUUGACGCUGAGGCGCGAAAGCUAGGGGAGCAAACGGG